CACGUAGGGGGCAAGCGUUGUCCGGAUUUAUUGGGCGUAAAGAGCUCGUAGGUGGCUCGGCAAGUCGGGUGUUAAACCCCCAGGCUCAACCUGGGGACGCCACUCGAUACUGCUGUGGCUAGAGUCCGGUAGGGGAGCGUGGAAUUCCUGGUGUAGCGGUGAAAUGCGCAGAUAUCAGGAGGAACACCGGUGGCGAAGGCGGGUCUCUGGGCCGAUACUGACGCUGAGGAGCGAAAGCGUGGGGAGCGAACAGG
rnacentral:rRNA from 1 species